GACGAACGCUGGCGGCGCGCCUAACACAUGCAAGUCGAACGAGCGAGAGAGAGCUUGCUUUCUCGAGCGAGUGGCGAACGGGUGAGUAACGCGUGAGGAACCUGCCUCAAAGAGGGGGACAACAGUUGGAAACGACUGCUAAUACCGCAUAAGCCCACGGGUCGGCAUCGACCAGAGGGAAAAGGAGCAAUCCGCUUUGAGAUGGCCUCGCGUCCGAUUAGCUAGUUGGUGAGGUAAUGGCCCACCAAGGCAACGAUCGGUAGCCGGACUGAGAGGUUGAACGGCCACAUUGGGACUGAGACACGGCCCAGACUCCUACGGGAGGCAGCAGUGGGGAAUAUUGCACAAUGGGGGAAACCCUGAUGCAGCGACGCCGCGUGGAGGAAGAAGGUCUUCGGAUUGUAAACUCCUGUUGUUGGGGAAGAUAAUGACGGUACCCAACAAGGAAGUGACGGCUAACUACGUGCCAGCAGCCGCGGUAAAACGUAGGUCACAAGCGUUGUCCGGAAUUACUGGGUGUAAAGGGAGCGCAGGCGGGAAGACAAGUUGGAAGUGAAAUCUAUGGGCUCAACCCAUAAACUGCUUUCAAAACUGUUUUUCUUGAGUAGUGCAGAGGUAGGCGGAAUUCCCGGUGUAGCGGUGGAAUGCGUAGAUAUCGGGAGGAACACCAGUGGCGAAGGCGGCCUACUGGGCACCAACUGACGCUGAGGCUCGAAAGUGUGGGUAGCAAACAGGAUUAGAUACCCUGGUAGUCCACACCGUAAACGAU
rnacentral:rRNA from 1 species